rnacentral:rRNA from 1 species
GUCCACGCCGUAAACGAUGGAUACUAGCUGUUGGGGGCAACCUCAGUGGCUAAGCGAAAGUGAUAAGUAUCCCACAUGGGGAGUACGUUCGCAAGAAUGAAACUCAAAGGAAUUGACGGGGGCCCCGCACAAGCGGUGGAGCAUGUGGUUUAAUUCGAUGAUACGCGAGGAACCUUACCAAGGCUUAAAUGUAGAUUGACCGGUUUGGAAACAGACUUUUCGCAAGACAAUUUACAAGGUGCUGCAUGGUUGUCGU